GUGAAAUAGCGUGUCGUCUAUAAUAUUAUAUCUUUAAUACCAUCAUCAUCAUUAUCAUCAUCAUCAAUUUCAAUUAAAUUGGCAUAAUUAUAAUAUUAUAAAUAUAUAUUAUAUAAUAUAAUAUAAAUUAUAUUAAAUUAUAUUAUCUUCAUCAUAUAUUAUCAAUAAAUAUAUUAUAAGUUAUAUAUAUAUAUCUUAAAUUGUUACGAGCGAAGAUCUGGCAACCAUGAACACUAGAUGACGUAAUCGUUCUAUUUCCUUUUCCUUCGAGGUGCAGGAUGGUGCACGUGCUGCCUCGAAGAUAUGACCGUGCUAACAAUAACGCUAGUGAAAGCGAGCAGAAAGACAUCAGGUGAAUUGAUGCUCAGAUGACCAAAGAGAGCAGUGUCUAGUCCUUUCUGAGGUUUGUCAAAAGACUGAAGAUAACCAUUCUAAUACAGAAUCUUCUGUCAUGGAAAGGAAAAAGUAAAGCCUGGAAUUAAAUACAUCUCUGACCUUUUCGUGUUAUAUGACUCAGCUAAAUUUCUAUAUUUUGAAACAGAACAGCUUGGAUUUUAAGCAGAAUGCAAUGAUGUAUGCAGAUAAAUUCCCUUUACCACCACAAUUAAGUCGGUGGUAUAAAACAGCACACAUGCAAGUAAAGCUAAAUGAGGCAUGUUAAAAACUAAAUACAUUUUAUUGGAAAAACUACCACUCUAUUGUGACAAGUUAAUGGAUUAUUUUGGGUAAAUUUAUUUUAUUUAUUUAUUUAAACAUUAAUGUUAAUAAAUUGAAAUACUGGA